UGGCUCAGUUGGUAGAGCAAGGUGUUUGCAAUGCCAGGGUUGUGGGUUCAAUUCCCAU
rfam:Salmo salar isolate Sally breed double haploid chromosome ssa27, whole genome shotgun sequence.